AAUAUCCCCUAGCAUUCUCCAGAUGUGUUCUCUCUCUCUCUCUCUCUCUCUCUCUCUUCCCUUUUUAUCAGAUCGGUGUUUUGAAAAAAGUGAUUUGUGCAUUUGACCCUGCUGCGGCACCACAUUCUUCAUGAGUGCUGGAUUGCUUUCUCGGGGAAAUCUAGAGAGGGAGUGUCGCACAACCGGCUCCAUUGCCGGAGGUUGUGCUCACGCCAUCAGUUUUAGAGUCCGGAGGAGGGAGGAAAAGCAGGGUAGCCAGAAUCUCUGUUGGCGUCGCCUGUUUCAUUGUGUUCAUGAUGAUCCUUUCAGUAAUAGGCCUUUUUAGGUAGUAAAGGAAACGUUUGUGCUCUGGUUUCUGCAAGAGGCUUACACAAACCUGUUUUGACAAGAGCCGAGCAGCGAUGCUUCCAUUUUGGACCACGACCUAGCUAAAGGCUAAUGGGUUCCAAGUGUCUGAAGUACCGAAGACAUGGCUAGCUCCUCGUUUUUUGUCAUGUCAAAAAAUCGUGUAUGAUUGCAACAAUAUUGGCAAAAUAUCGUUGUACUUUAUAUUUUGAUAUACUAUGAACAAAA